UUCCGGUUGAUCCUGCCGGACCCCACUGCUAUCGAGGUGGGACUAAGCCAUGCUAGUUGAGCGCACAGAACUAUGUCUGUGAGCGGCACACUGCUCAGUAACACGUAGCUAACCUACCCUUAGGACGUGGACAACCCCGAGAAAUUGGGGCUAAUCCGCGAUAGAUGUAAUGUCCUGGAAUGGUAUUACGUCCAAAGGUAUCCCAUACAUGUUUGGUAUACGCCUAAGGAUGGGGCUGCGGCCGAUCAGGCUGUUGGUGAGGUAAUGGCUCACCAAACCUUUGACCGGUACGGGCCAUGAGAGUGGUAGCCCGGAGAUGGACACUGAGACAAGGGUCCAGGCCCUACGGGGCGCAGCAGGCGCGAAACCUCCUCAAUGCACUUACGUGCGAAGGGGCUACCUCGAGUGCCACCUGAUGAAGGUGGCUUUUCCUAGGUCUAAAAGGCCUUGGGAAUAAGAGGGGGGCAAGACUGGUGUCAGCCGCCGCGGUAACACCAGCCCCUCGAGUGGUGGGGAUGAUUAUUGGGCCUAAAGCGUCCGUAGCCUGCCGUGUAAGUUUCCCGUUAAAUCCAGCGUCUUAAGCGUUGGACUGCGGGAAAUACUGCACGGCUAGAGA
rnacentral:rRNA from 1 species